UACGAAGGGUGCAAACGUUGCUCGGAAUUAUUGGGCGUAAAGCGCGCGCAGGCGGCCUCGCGCGCCCGACGUGAAAGCCCCCGGCUUAACCGGGGAGAGUCGUUGGGGACGGCGGGGCUUGAGGGCGGGAGAGGUCGGUGGAAUUGCCGGUGUAGUGGUGAAAUGCGUAGAGAUCGGCAGGAACACCCAGGGGGAAACCAGUCGACUGGGCAUCUACUGACGCUGAGGUGCGAGAGCGUGGGGAGCGAACCGG
rnacentral:rRNA from 1 species